rnacentral:tRNA from 1 species
CAGAGCAUGGCUAAAUAGUAAAGCAUCUCUCUUACACUGAGAAAACAUCUGUGCAAAUCGGGUUGUUCUGA